rnacentral:tRNA from 1 species
AAAUUAGUGCCUGAUUAAAGGAUUAUCUUGAUAGGAUAAAUCAUGUCAUAGUUGACCUAUUUUA